rnacentral:rRNA from 1 species
AGACCCGAAACCCGGUGAUCUAGCCAUGGGCAGGUUGAAGGUUGGGUAACACUAACUGGAGGACCGAACCGACUAAUGUUGAAAAAUUAGCGGAUGACUUGUGGCUGGGGGUGAAAGGCCAAUCAAACCGGGAGAUAGCUGGUUCUCCCCGAAAGCUAUUUAGGUAGCGCCUCGUGAAUUCAUCUCCGGGGGUAGAGCACUGUUUCGGCAAGGGGGUCAUCCCGACUUACCAACCCGAUGCAAACUGCGAAUACCGGAGAAUGUUAUCACGGGAGACACACGGCGGGUGCUAACGUCCGUCGUGAAGAGGGAAACAACCCAGACCGCCAGCUAAGGUCCCAAAGUCAUGGUUAAGUGGGAAACGAUGUGGGAAGGCCCAGACAGCCAGGAUGUUGGCUUAGAAGCAGCCAUCAUUUAAAGAAAGCGUAAUAGCUCACUGGUCGAGUCGGCCUGCGCGGAAGAUGUAACGGGGCUAAACCAUGCACCGAAGCUGCGGCAGCGACACUGUGUGUUGUUG